CCUACGGGUGGCAGCAGUGGGGAAUAUUGCGCAAUGGGCGAAAGCCUGACGCAGCGACGCCGCGUGAGGGAUGAAGGUCUUCGGAUUGUAAACCUCUGUCAGCAGGGAAGAACGGUCAACGUGCUAAUCAGCAGUGAAUUGACGGUACCUGCAAAGGAAGCACCGGCUAACUCCGUGCCAGCAGCCGCGGUAAUACGGAGGGUGCGAGCGUUAAUCGGAAUUACUGGGCGUAAAGCGCUCGUAGGCGGUAUGUCAAGUCAAGGGUGAAAUCCCCGCGCUCAACGUGGGAACUGCCUUUGAAACUGGCAGACUGGAGUGUGUGAGAGGAUAGUGGAAUUCCAGGUGUAGGAGUGAAAUCCGUAGAUAUCUGGAGGAACAUCAGUGGCGAAGGCGACUAUCUGGCACAUAACUGACGCUGAGGAGCGAAAGCGUGGGUAGCAAACAGGAUUAGAUACCCUAGUAGUC
rnacentral:rRNA from 1 species